rnacentral:rRNA from 1 species
ACUCCUACGGGAGGCAGCAGUGGGGAAUAUUGCACAAUGGGCGCAAGCCUGAUGCAGCCAUGCCGCGUGUGUGAAGAAGGCCUUCGGGUUGUAAAGCACUUUCAGUUGUGAGGAAAGGUUAGUCACUAAUAUUGGCUAGCUGUGACGUUACUUACAGAAGAAGCACCGGCUAACUCCGUGCCAGCAGCCGCGGUAAUACGGAGGGUGCGAGCGUUAAUCGGAAUUACUGGGCGUAAAGCGUACGCAGGCGGUUUGUUAAGCGAGAUGUGAAAGCCCCGGGCUCAACCUGGGAACUGCAUUUCGAACUGGCAAACUAGAGUGUGAUAGAGGGUGGUAGAAUUUCAGGUGUAGC